CCUACGGGUGGCAGCAGUGAGGAAUAUUGGUCAAUGGACGAGAGUCUGAACCAGCCAAGUAGCGUGAAGGAUGACUGCCCUAUGGGUUGUAAACUUCUUUUAUAUGGGAAUAAAAUGUUCCACGUGUGGGAUUUUGUAUGUACCAUACGAAUAAGGAUCGGCUAACUCCGUGCCAGCAGCCGCGGUAAUACGGAGGAUCCGAGCGUUAUCCGGAUUUAUUGGGUUUAAAGGGAGCGUAGGUGGAUUGUUAAGUCAGUUGUGAAAGUUUGCGGCUCAACCGUAAAAUUGCAGUUGAAACUGGCAGUCUUGAGUACAGUAGAGGUAGGCGGAAUUCGUGGUGUAGCGGUGAAAUGCUUAGAUAUCACGAAGAACUCCGAUUGCGAAGGCAGUUCACUGGACUGCAACUGACGCUGAGGCUCGAAAGUGUGGGUAUCAAACAGGAUUAGAUACCCUAGUAGUC
rnacentral:rRNA from 1 species